ensembl:lncRNA
AUGUCUAAUAUCCAACGUCAAACGUCGAACCAACUUUAUAUCGUGUUUACAUCACAGAUGACAGCAACAUCGCUAUCUUCGCUGGAGAGAGUGGGUUUUUUAGUAGUCUCGAUCUUGCUGCAAGAGGACACUACGAAGUUGUCGGAGAUUCUGCCGAGGUGCAGUCACCGGACUCAAGUGUUGACCCACUGCUGGAUCUGGGUCUGUGCGCUUUGCAUUUCAGCGACCCAGUGUGUGGCCCCGGGCCAGUGUGUCAAAACCUUUUCAACGGAAUGUUUUUCUUGCUGAUCUGUGAAGACCCCAGAAGACUGUGGCGAUCCGUUUUCAUGAACAUGAUGCAUCAGUUCCUGCUAUCUUGGCAAAAGUCCAAGAUGCUAUUGGAUCAGAAGAUGGUAUGAUACUGACUGAUGGCCAGGGGAAUGAAAUUCUCCAUACAGAGGGAACAAAAGAUAACUGCAAAAGAUGAGAUUGACUACAAGCUGUUUUAAAAAAUCUAAGAAAAACACAAUGA